CUACGGGGCGCUCCAGUGGGGAAUAUUGGGCAAUGGGCGCAAGCCUGACCCAGCAACGCCGCGUGAGGGAAGAAGGUUUUCGGAUUGUAAACCUCUGUCCUUGGGGACGAAGAAGUGACGGUACCCAAGGAGGAAGCUCCGGCUAACUACGUGCCAGCAGCCGCGGUAAUACGUAGGGAGCGAGCGUUGUCCGGAAUUACUGGGCGUAAAGGGUGCGUAGGCGGCAUAUUAAGUCAGGUGUGAAAUACUCGGGCUCAACCCGAGGGCUGCACUUGAAACUGGUAAGCUUGAGUGUGAGAGAGGAAAGUGGAAUUCCUAGUGUAGCGGUGAAAUGCGUAGAUAUUAGGAGGAACACCAGUGGCGAAGGCGACUUUCUGGCUCAUAACUGACGCUGAGGCACGAAAGCGUGGGGAGCAAACAGGAUUAGAUACCCCUGUAGUC
rnacentral:rRNA from 1 species